rnacentral:rRNA from 1 species
UGUAUUACCGCAUGGUACAGCAAUUAAAGGUGCAAUCCGCUAUGAGAUGGGCCCGCGGCGCAUUAGCUAGUUGGUGAGGUAACGGCUCACCAAGGCGACGAUGCGUAGCCGACCUGAGAGGGUGAUCGGCCACAUUGGGACUGAGACACGGCCCAGACUCCUACGGGAGGCAGCAGUGGGGAAUAUUGCACAAUGGGGGAAACCCUGAUGCAGCAACGCCGCGUGAGUGAUGACGGCCUUCGGGUUGUAAAGCUCUGUCUUCAGGGACGAUAAUGACGGUACCUGAGGAGGAAGCCACGGCUAACUACGUGCCAGCAGCCGCGGUAAUACGUAGGUGGCGAACGUUGUCCGGAUUUACUGGGCGUAAAGGGAGCGUARGCGGAUUUUUAAGUGAGAUGUGAAAUACUCGGGCUUAACCUGAGUGCUGCAUUUCAAACUGGAAGUCUA